UCCCCAGGUCUGCUCCAUAUGGCCCACAGUCCUCAUUGCAACUCCCACAUACCUGACCCAGCCAAGAUGCCUCGCUGAUGUCCUGAAAUCUCCCCCUCACACCUUCCCCCAUUCCUGAGUACAGGCAACCAAAUAGCUUGGGAAUCCUCCCAGUCAGUCCUGUGUGGCUCCAUAAAACUCCUCUACAAUCCUCUUCUCUGUUGUAUGGAGUAAAGAACAGUUAUGUACUGUGGGAACUUCCUGGGAUAUUAGUUUGUGUGCUGUUUGCUAAUUGUCCUCCCUACCUUCAACUGCAAGGUGGCCUGACUCCCUGGCAGACUCCCAGGAGAAUGGGAACAGGAUUGGCUGUGGAUGCACCCAGUGAUGGCACAGCCCUGGACAUCCAUUUCAGGAAGCAUUUCAGGGCAAGAGCUACGCUGGGCACUAAGAUGGCAGAACUGCAGGGCUUCCAGGGGCUGCAGAUGCUCGUAUAAAGAUUUCCAUGGGUGGAUGGCAACUCCAAGGUGCCACCCUGCCAUGACUGAACAGGGGCGUUGAGAAGAGCAGCAGCGCAGGCUUCUGUAGAACUUCCAGCCACAGACGCAGUGGAACUAAGGAAGCUCGAGAGCCCAGGCGGCACAUGAAGCCAAGGAAGCUUAGCUGGGAAAGCCCUGAUCUUGGAGAUCUUUACUUGGAAUU